rnacentral:tRNA from 1 species
GCUGGGUUAGCUCAGUUGGUUAGAGCAUGGUGCUAAUAACGCCAAGGUCACAGGUUCAAUCCCUGCUCACUGCA